UACGUAGGGUGCAAGCGUUGUCCGGAAUUAUUGGGCGUAAAGAGCUCGUAGGCGGUUUGUCGCGUCUGCUGUGAAAACCCGAGGCUCAACCUCGGGCCUGCAGUGGGUACGGGCAGACUAGAGUGCGGUAGGGGAGACUGGAAUUCCUGGUGUAGCGGUGAAAUGCGCAGAUAUCAGGAGGAACACCGGUGGCGAAGGCGGGUCUCUGGGGCCGAUACUGACGCUGAGGAGCGAAAGCGUGGGGAGCGAACAGG
rnacentral:rRNA from 1 species